CGAUGUAGAGAGUUCCUUGUGUAGUUGACCUUUAUCAAAGCGAGUCUUUUCAUAUUCCAGAUAUGAGAGGAAAAAAUCACCCAAUCUCUUUGCUGUUUACCCGGCAUGAUGACUUUGUGAAGUUAGGUGGCUAAAAUUUCUUGUUUUUGGUUGUUGAUUCUCAUCAUUAUGGUUCAGGCUACUAGUUCAUUAACAGAAAAAACAUAAUAUAUAUUUUUAACAUAAAUGUAGCUACUAUCUUAUGAUCGUCCAUGCCUAUGUUACUUGGACUUAAGUGUGAGUGUUGGUAUGCGUCUAACACGAAUGGGUAUGUUUAAUUUUUUUUUCUUUUUUAAAGUUUGGGGGGGUUUCAUAUAUCCACAGACUCUUGUCUGUAAAUGAGUUAUACAUAGGUGUUGUAGAGGGAUAUUUUAAGAAAAAUGAAGAGAGGGAAUAUUGAAGGUCUAUGCUUCAUGGGUUUGAAAUGGUUAGUUUUUGAGUCCCCUUCAAAUUAGGAUAGUCUAUAUUACUAAAUGAAUUGUGGUUUUAUUGAUUUUGUUAGUUGGUGAAUGGAAAUAACAAAAAAUCUUUCUUAUAAAUAAUGUGUAGUUACUGUAUUACUUGCUUUUUUUUUUGAAUUAAGCUUAAUUGACUGAACUUGCUACUUUGAACAACUACUUCCUUUGGUGAUAUGUACUGUGUGCUGGAAUUUUAUUACGUCUUCUUCUUCUCUUGUAGACUUCUCUGUCAUUCGUGUAAUUAAAUUUUAUUCAUAGAGAACUUGCAACUCGUUUUUAGCACAUUAGCUCUGCUCUGAUUUGUUUAGUUGCUAUAGUAGUCUGGGAGUGAUUAUGCUCAGGCCAUGCUGCUUUGGCUUUUAAUUUUUCUUGAAGUACCAUGUAUGAAACAUAUUAAGACAUGGAUAUAGAGGUAUGAUCCUCUAAAGAGUUGAACAUAUACAUCUCAAACACAUACAAAUAUCCUACAUGCAUCCCUAGUCUGACUGACAUAGGUUAGGUUAUAGCUAUUCAACCUUAAACUAAGGUGGAUUUGUAAAACAAUUCAUUUUGUCUUUAUCAUUAGUAUCUAGGAUGACCAUAUGAUACUGGAUGGGUUUUGUUGUUUAACUUAUUUGAAAAGCGUUCAAAUGUAGUUAUAGGGAGAAAGUUGCCACAGGUUUUAAACUUUUAAUAUCAUCAGCGAUAGCUUUUCCUUUUUCCCCUGCUAGACUUUCAGCAUUUAAUUUCCUUGUUUAAAGAUGUUUCAAACUUGCUAAAAAUGCAACAAUUGCAUAUGUUAUUUAAUUAAUUAAAUAAAUGAUACUGAGUUCUUUACCUUUUCUUCCUUGGUUGUUUUGUUGCAUCUUUAUGCUGGUAUGAGUGAUGGAAUUAAGUGAAAUUUUAGUGAAAUUUCUAGCUAUCGAGGGAGCUGCUGAAGCAUGCAGUUUGCAUGCAUGCUAUCUAAUUUCUUACCAAUUUAGGUGGUCUAAUCAAUGGUUGUUUAGUGUUGUCCAAAUAAUAAUUAAAGAUCAUCCAAGUGAUCAGGAAAUUAAAAUUGUCUGAACAAUGUGAAACUAAAUUGUUAAAUGUUAACUAAUGAUGUCCAAAUGGAUAUGGAUUUAUGAUGUUAGUAAGCUAAAAAUUUAGUUGUUAAAUGUUGCAAUUUAUGGUGUCUGAAAGUUGUGAUUUAUGAUAUUCGAAUGAUGUAUUUUAAGUUGUUUGGAUGUGUUAAAGAGUUGGUUUAAUAUAAUGCCUAAUGGUUGUUUAUUGUUGUUCAAAGCAUGAUGAAAUAAACAUGUUAGGCGUAGUUUAAUAUAUGCCUUGCUAACCCGUAAGGUUGUCCAAAACAAGAUAAAAUUUUGUUGUCUUUAAGAUGUUCGAAUGUGGUUGUUCAAAUGGUUCUUCAAAUUUUCCAAAUGUGUCCUUAAAGUGCUCGAAAAUGUCAUAUUAAUAUUGUCCAUAUAUAAUUUAAUAUUUUAUCAUUUGGAACUUUAAUAUUUUAACACAAGUGAUGUCAAUUUCUUGUCUUGAUAACAUCUUUAUUAUUUACUGAUGCAGGUGGGCAGACAAGUAUCAGGUACCGGACAUAAACAAAUAUCUCCACUGCAAUGAUGAUACCAUUACUUUUUUCUAGUAAUACUGGAAAAGACAAUAUAUGCAUGUUAAACUACCUUUACAAUUCGGAUUUGAUCUUUUUACUUUAAACAAGAACAUUUUGGUUAUAUUUAAUUUUCGAUAUGUUUUUAUUUUUGAUAUGUUUCAUUUAAAACUAUUUUAAUCUUUUAAUAUAUUAUUAAAC
rnacentral:lncRNA from 1 species